rnacentral:rRNA from 1 species
UGAGUACGAGACGCUAAGGCGUUGAAGCAGUCUAUGUCAGACUUCCAAGAAAAGCUCGCAAUGUUAUAAGCAAAAAAUGCCUGUACCAUAACCGACACAGGUGGGUAGGUAGAGUAUACUAAGGGGCGCGAGAUAACUCUCUCUAAGGAACUCGGCAAAAUGACUCCGUAACUUCGGGAGAAGGAGUGCCUUAUUUUUAUAAGGUUGCAAUAACAAGAUCCAAGCAACUGUUUACCAAAACACAGGUCUCCGCUAAGUCGUAAGACGAUGUAUGGGGGCUGACGCCUGCCCAGUGCCAGAAGGUUAAAGAAGUUGGUUAGUUUCGGCGAAGCUGAUGACUGAAGCCCUGGUGAACGGCGGCCGUAACAAUAACGGUCCUAAGGUAGCGAAAUUCCUUGUCGGGUAAGUUCCGACCCGCACGAAAGGCGUAAUGAUUUGGAUACUGUCUCGGAGAGGGGCUCGGUGAAAUAGACUUGUCUGUGAAGAUGCGGACUACCUGCACCUGGACAGAAAGACCCUAUGAAGCUUUACUGUAACUUGAGAUUGAAAUUGGACUUUAUUUGCGCAGUAUAGGUGGGAGACGUUGAGAAUAUUCUUGCGGGAAUAUUGGAGUCAUCAGUGAGAUACCACUCUUGUAAUGUUAGAUUUCUAACUUUGUAUCAUUAUCUGGUCAAAGGACAGUUUCAGGCGGGCAGUUUGACUGGGGCGGUCGCCUCCCAAACGGUAACGGAGGCGCACAAAGGUUUCCUCUGAACGUGUAGAAAUCGUAUCUAGAGUGUAAAGGCAUAAGGAAGCUUGACUGUGAGACCUACAAGUCGAGCAGGACGAAAGUCGGUCUUAGUGAUCUGACGGUGCUGAGUGGAAAGGCCGUCACUCAACGGAUAAAAGUUACUCUAGGAUAACAGGCUGAUCUCCCCCAAGAGUUCACAUCGACGGGGAGGUUUGGCACCUCGAUGUCGGCUCAUCGCAUCCUGGGGCGGUAGUACGUCCCAAGGGUCGGGCUGUUCGCCCAUGAAAGCGGUACGCGAGCUGGGUUCAGAACGUCGUGAGACAGUUCGGUCCAUAUCCGGUGUAGGCGUUAGAAUAUUGAGAGGAGCCUUCUUUAGUACGAGAGGACCGAGAAGGACAUACCUCUGGUGUACCAGUUAUCGUGCCAACGGUAAACGCUGGGUAGCUAUGUAUGGAGUGGAUAACCGCUGAAAGCAUCUAAGUGGGAAGCCCACCUCAAGAUAAG